AGAGUUUGAUCCUGGCUCAGGACGAACGCUGGCGGCGUGCUUAACACAUGCAAGUCGAGCGAUGAAGCACCUUCGGGUGUGAAUUAGCGGCGAACGGGUGAGGAACACGUGAGAAAUCUGCCUUCAACACUGGGAUAACUCCGGGAAACCGGGGCUAAUACCGGAUAUGAAACCUGCGGGCAUCCGCGGGUUUGGAAAGUUUUUCGGUUGAAGAUGAUCUCGCGGCCUAUCAGCUUGUUGGUGAGGUAAUGGCUCACCAAGGCGACGACGGGUAGCCGGCCUGAGAGGGCGACCGGCCACACUGGGACUGAGACACGGCCCAGACUCCUACGGGAGGCAGCAGUGGGGAAUAUUGGGCAAUGGAGGAAACUCUGACCCAGCGACGCCGCGUGCGGGAUGAAGGCCUUCGGGUUGUAAACCGCUUUCAGCAGGGAAGAAGCGAAAGUGACGGUACCUGCAGAAGAAGCACCGGCUAACUAUGUGCCAGCCGCCGCGGUAAUUCA
rnacentral:rRNA from 1 species